rnacentral:rRNA from 1 species
GACAGAGGGUGCAAACGUUGUUCGGAAUUACUGGGCGUAAAGCGCGUGUAGGCGGCUAUGCAAGUCGGAUGUGAAAGCCCUCGGCUCAACCGGGGAAGUGCACCCGAAACUGCAAAGCUAGAGUCUCGGAGAGGAUCGUGGAAUUCUCGGUGUAGAGGUGAAAUUCGUAGAUAUCGAGAGGAACACCUGUGGCGAAGGCGGCCUUCGUGGACGGCGACCUCGACGGCUGAGACGCGAAAGCGUGGGAGCAAACAGG